AUGAGCGCUGGCGGCGUGCCUAAUACAUGCCAGUCGAGCGCACGGACGAGAAGCUUGCUUCUCUGAUGUUAGCGGCGGACGGGUGAGUAACACGUGGAUAACCUACCUAUAAGACUGGGAUAACUUCGGGAAACCGGAGCUAAUACCGGAUAAUAUUUUGAACCGCAUGGUUCAAAAGUGAAAGACGGUCUUGCUGUCACUUAUAGAUGGAUCCGCGCUGCAUUAGCUAGUUGGUAAGGUAACGGCUUACCAAGGCAACGAUGCAUAGCCGACCUGAGAGGGUGAUCGGCCACACUGGAACUGAGACACGGUCCAGACUCCUACGGGAGGCAGCAGUAGGGAAUCUUCCGCAAUGGGCGAAAGCCUGACGGAGCAACGCCGCGUGAGUGAUGAAGGUCUUCGGAUCGUAAAACUCUGUUAUUAGGGAAGAACAUAUGUGUAAGUAACUGUGCACAUCUUGACGGUACCUAAUCAGAAAGCCACGGCUAACUACGUG
rnacentral:rRNA from 1 species